rnacentral:lncRNA from 1 species
CAUGUUCAGACACUCUCUGAAGCACAAAGGAAAAAUGGCUGUCUUCUUUUAAGGGACUAAAUCAUAGCGAUACCUGCGGUGGUUCAGAGGGCAGCCGCAAAGCACUAUGGACACAGAAGAGCCAAAGGUCUACUCCAACGCUUUCACCUCUCUCCUUACCGGCUGUGCCAGGCUUCUCCGUACGGAAUAUUAAAAUGCAAAAAUGUAUUGCCGAGAAAGGAAAUCAUCGGUGAACAUGGACUCCCCAUGGUAACUGGAGACCGAGGAGAAGUGCUCUUAAUACGUCAAUGA